rnacentral:lncRNA from 1 species
AUCUCCAAACCAAGCACUUCUCAAAACAGAUGUCUCUAAUCCACCAAAACCUUGUAAGCAAACACAUGUUAGAAGCAACAGAGGCUGCUUCAACCGUACGAUUUUCCAUCAACAGUGCAUCCUUCCCUUUCCCAUGGUUGCGGUUUGUCUCCUCUCAACUAUCUCUUUGCUAUGUCAUCCUGAACACCCCUUUCUCGAUCAAGACACGAUUUUCCUCCAAGUUUAUAACGCAAUUCACAUGCUCUAUUUUUCUAUAUUUACCUUUUGCUUAAGCAUGUGCCCAAACAACUUAGUCGCUGCGACAAUUAAGCAUCGUCGUGAGCAACUUUAUCCAGUUUUUUGACACUAUUUAGUAACCUACUCAAAUCUCUUCAUCUUGUAGGUCGAGGAGGUGCUUAGGCACUUGUUCAUGCACGUAGAUUGGCGCUAAAACCUCAUCGUCACCAAAUAAGGUGACUGAUAACAUUCAUGUCGGCCUCGAGCCAGUUUUACCCUUCGGUUCCGCAUGCCCCAUGCUGCCCUAACUCCUCUCUCACACAAGUACUUGAGCAACAUAUCUCAGUCACGAUCUCUUCAUGUGAGAUAAGUGCUCCCACUGUUGAUCUAGACCUUUAAGAAAACAAAGAUUAGGUUUCCAUUAUUUGAAAAGCAAAGUUUUUGUUACACAACAAUUUUGAUUAAGUUAAGGCAGCAAUGGACAUGGUUAAAUCCCCUCAUUGUAGCUCAUGAAUUAUAUUCAUGCAAGAGAUUAAACUAGGCUAAUAGCAGCCCAUAUUGUAGGGGCAUGCAAUAAGAAUUAACCAGCCAUCAACAAGACACUAAAUCAGCCAUAUUCAUAUUGAUUGAUGAUGCUUUAUGUAUUUGUAGCCGUCACAAAGACAAUGAAGUUGGUGAUCAAAGCCAUAUCAUAGUU